rnacentral:rRNA from 1 species
UAGAACCUACGGGACGCAGCAGUAGGGAAUUUUCGUCAAUGGGCGCAAGCCUGAACGAGCGAUGCCGCGUGAGUGAAGAAGGCCUUCGGGUCGUAAAGCUCUGUUGCGGGGGAAAAAAGGCAGCAUCAGGAAAUGGGUGCUGACUGAUGGUGCCCCGCCAGAAAGUCACGGCUAACUACGUGCCAGCAGCCGCGGUAAUACGUAGGUGGCGAGCGUUAUCCGGAAUGAUUGGGCGUAAAGGGUGCACAGGCGGCC